GGAUAUAACUCAGUUGGUAGAGUGCUUGCCUAGCAUGCACAAGGCCCUGGGUUCAAUCCCCAGCACCA
rnacentral:tRNA from 1 species